rnacentral:rRNA from 1 species
GGCGGACGGGUGAGUAACGCGUGGGAACGUGCCCUUCUCUAUGGAAUAGCCACUGGAAACGGUGAGUAAUACCAUAUACGCCCUUCGGGGGAAAGAUUUAUCGGAGAAGGAUCGGCCCGCGUUAGAUUAGGUAGUUGGUGGGGUAAUGGCCUACCAAGCCUACGAUCUAUAGCUGGUUUUAGAGGAUGAUCAGCCACACUGGGACUGAGACACGGCCCAGACUCCUACGGGAGGCAGCAGUGGGGAAUCUUAGACAAUGGGCGCAAGCCUGAUCUAGCCGUGCCGCGUGAGUGAUGAAGGCCUUAGGGUCGUAAAGCUCUUUCGCCAGAGAUGAUAAUGACAGUAUCUGGUAAAGAAACCCCGGCUAACUCCGUGCCAGCAGCCGCGGUAAUACGGAGGGGGUUAGCGUUGUUCGGAAUUACUGGGCGUAAAGCGCACGUAGGCGGAUUAGAAAGUUAGGGGUGAAAUCCCGGGGCUCAACCUCGGAACUGCCCCUAAAACUCCUAGUCUAGAGUUCGAGAGAGGUGAGUGGAAUUCCAAGUGUAGAGGUGAAAUUCGUAGAUAUUUGGAGGAACACCAGUGGCGAAGGCGGCUCACUGGCUCGAUACUGACGCUGAGGUGCGAAAGUGUGGGGAGCAAACAGGAUUAGAUACCCUGGUAGUCCACACCGU